GAUGAACGCUAGCGGCAGGCUUAAUACAUGCAAGUCGUGGGGCAGCAUGAGUAGCAAUACUUGAUGGCGACCGGCAAACGGGUGAGGAACACGUACACAACCUUCCUUCAAGCGGGGAAUAGCCCAGAGAAAUUUGGAUUAAUACCCCAUAAUAUAUUUGAUAAGGCAUCUUAUUAAUAUUAAAGCUUCGGCACUUGAUGAUGGGUGUGCGGCUGAUUAGAUAGUUGGCGGGGUAACGGCCCACCAAGUCUACGAUCAGUAGCUGAUGUGAGAGCAUGAUCAGCCACACGGGCACUGAGACACGGGUCCGACUCCUACGGGAGGCAGCAGUAAGGAAUAUUGGACAAUGGACGAAAGUCUGAUCCAGCCAUGCCGCGUGAAGGAUUAAGGUCCUCUGGAUUGUAAACUUCUUUUAUAUGGGACGAAAAAGGGCAUUCUUGUUCACUUGACGGUACCAUAUGAAUAAGCACCGGCUAACUCCGUCG
rnacentral:rRNA from 1 species